rnacentral:rRNA from 1 species
GACAGAGGGGGCAAGCGUUGCUCGGAAUUACUGGGCGUAAAGCGCACGUAGGCGGUUUGUUAAGUCGGAUGUGAAAUCCCUCGGCUCAACUGAGGAAGUGCAUCCGAAACUGGCAAGCUUGAGUACGAAAGAGGGUCGCGGAAUUCCCGGUGUAGAGGUGAAAUUCGUAGAUAUCGGGAGGAACACCGGUGGCGAAGGCGGCGACCUGGGUCGAUACUGACGCUGAGGUGCGAAAGCGUGGGGAGCAAACAGG